GGUUGAUUCUGCCUGACGUGGAUGCUAGUCUCACAGAUUUAGCCAUGCAUGUGCAAGCGAAGCCAGUGGCGGAGCGGCGUACGGCUCAGUAAGGGGCGUCUUAUUUGUUCUCCCGGRGCGGACAACCCCUGUAAGCGGGGGCCAAAACGCGAGCGGCGAGCCCUGCAGGGCGCGCAGCGAACGGCACUUGUGCCGUGCGGGAGAGUAAGGAGCCAUCCCAUCAGCUAGUAAGUAGGGUAAGGGCCUACUUAGGCGAAGACGGGUACGGGGGAUCGGGGUCCGAUUCCGGAGAGGGAGCCUGAGAGACGGCUACCAGGUCCAAGGACAGCAGCAGGCGCGCAACUUACCGAAGCGCGCAUUCGCGGCGGUAGUGAUGAGACGUGGAUACGAUGUGCGGGCAGAGAGCGCACUGGUAACAGGAGGUCAAGACUGGUGCCAGCAUCCGCGGUAAUACCAGCUCCUGGAGUGUCUAUGGUGGUUGCUGCAGUUAAAGUGUCUGUAGUCGGGCUGCGCGGGCGGUGGCAAAUGCACAUGCUCGAAGUGUGUGUUUCACUGGUACGGCAGAGAAGAAGGAGCGGCCAGGGGCCAGGCUAUUGGGCGACGAGGGGUGAAAUCCGUGGACUCGCACAGGAGCAGCAGAGGCGAAGGCGCUGGCCAGGGGCGAAUCCGGUGAUAAAGGACGUAGGCCAGAGGAUCGAAGACGAUUAGAGACCGUUGUAGUUCUGGCAGUAAACGAUGCCGAUGCCGUGGCGCGGRGCGCGACGCGGAAGAGAAAUCGAGUAGGGCCCUGGGGAGAGUACACGCGCAAGCGAGAAAUUUAAAGGAAAUUGACGGAAGAACACCACAAGGAGUGGAGUGUGCGGCUUAAUUCGACUCAACGCGGGACAGCUUACCAGGCCCGACGUCCGCAGGAGUGAGUACACGAUAGGGCGGAGAGUGGUGCAUGGCCGUUAACGACAGAUGGGGUGACCCYGUGGUUAAGUCCGUGAAUCUGUGAGACCCCCGUCCGCGYGCGGAGACAGGUGCGCAAGGCACAGGAGGGAGGGGGCAAGAACAGGUCAGUGAUGCCCUCAGAUGGCCUGGGCUGCACGCGCACUACAGUGGUCGCAGAAAGAGGGCGCGCAGCGUGAAUGGCGAUCGAGAGGGAAUGUGCUCUGUAAGGGGCGCAGGAACGAGGAAUUGCUAGUAAUCGUGGGCUCACUAAGACACGAUGAAUGGGUCCCUGUUCUUUGUACACACCGCCCGUCGUUAUCGAAGAUGGAGCGCAGCGCGAACAAGCGGGAGCGAGUGAGUGUUGUGUUCUAGAUGUGAUACAAGUCGUAACAAG
rnacentral:rRNA from 1 species